GAAAAGUCCGAGAGGACUCCCAGGUUUCCAGCCUGGAAGCACACAGCUCCAGAGCUCAGACAGCAGAACCAUGGGAGGCCCUGCUGCACAGUGCGCAUGUAAAAAACAUGAAAAGAAGAUGCGUCAUUGGGCUCUUCUCACUUCAGAGGGCCCCACAACAUCUGCAACCCUCCAGCUCCACCCUACACCUUUGGUUCUGAAGAUGCUGCUAAACAUAACUCUGUUUUCGGGAACCCAAGAGGCAUCUGGACUGUCACCCUACCAACUUGCUCACACCUUCUGAAACCAACCCAGAAGACAGGAAUUCACACUUGGUCUGCCCAGCUUCCCUAGAGCAGACACCUGCAGGUCAGAGAACAUCUUGGUUUUGCCAAUUCGGGGAUUGUAAAACAGUGGUCCUGAGGGAGCUUCCCGGACAGGAGAAAAGGCUGCCUGGGCCCCAGCUCAGCUCCCCCAGCGACUUGCUGGAUGAUCUUCAGGCAAGUACCACCCACUCUCAGGAUACCUCUUUCCCAUUUGCAGACUGAGGGGCUGGAACACAAGCUGCGCCAAAAGAACUCUUCCCCGACCCCGCCACCACCAUCACCUAUGACAAAAUCUGCUUUUGCUCCAGGGUUUCCUCAGCAACUGACACCACUGUCCACCCAAUUCUGGGAGCUGAUAACCUAGGUGGUCCAUCUUCUAUUCCCCCCCAGCACACUCACCCACUCACACACAGGAGGUGUCAACAGUGUGUGACAAUCCACGGGAGCCAACUCAAGUGCCAGACCAGAGUCUUCUGAGGUGUUUAAUGCCAACUUUUCCUAUGGUAUGUGUCAAAGCCACCUCCAGUUUUAGUCAGUACCUUCUGGGCACCUACUGUGUGCCAGAAUGUGUGCCAGGUUGAGGGGCAGGGGGAGGUGACAGCAAUAGGCAAGAUGGCUCCUGACUUGAAGGAGCUCCCUGCUGAGGGUAUGAGAACCUAAGUGAAAACUACCCUGGUUCACAGCUGUCUCAGGGACUUGCUCCUCCAGUGGCUUCACGCAGAGCUUUACUGCUGAACAGCCUCUUCUCACUCUCCUGCUCCUGUCACUGCGGACAACCCGCAUCAUGUCUGAAGUGCAUCCAGAGCACCCUGGUCCCCGAUCCUGCUACCCUGGGAUAUCCUUUCCCCAUUUGCUUUCUCUGAAGGCUCUACAGCUCUGAGAGCCCUGUGGCUCAUGCCUGAGAUUGGUCAGCCCUCAGCCCUCAGCAGCGGCUGCAGACCUGGAGCCAAAUGCCUCCUGGGUCCAGUGGCAGUCAGGAGGCCUCCCUGAGUGCCCCGCACACCCCCUUACCAUGCUGCAGGGGCGGUCCUCCAUGGCAUACCGGGCCCUGUCCCAGUGAGAAAAUGCAGACAGCUCUGACUCCAGGAAGGCAGUGACUGGCUCUGCCUCGAACUACAAUAAACUGCUAUCAGACCUCAGAGUCACUGCCGGGGGCCUCAGAGAGGGGUGAGGGGAGGAAGCAGAGGGCUGAGGGCUUCAUGACAGUCCGCAGGCUGAGCCAAGGCUCCCUUGCUGUGCGGCGCAUGGCGUGUGCUACCACAGGCCCUAGGCCCUGCUGGGCUGGCUUGUGUGUUUUCUUGGCUCUGGGAGCUGGAAGCAGGGUUACGUAAGCAGCUGAGCAGAUGUGAGCCUGUCCUUGGCUCCCCCGGCUAAAGCCCCGCCACGUGGGCCUCUCGGCUGGGAGUCCAGGUCACGGCCUUGCGUGUAAGGCGCUCAAUAACUUCAAUGUGUGAGCUCAACUCAGACAAAUUCCACCGCUCCCUUGCCCGGCAUGGCAAACCCAAACACACACAUGCCCCUCCACUGAAGCCCUGCUAAUCUCGAGCCAACCCAGCACGGACUCCCUGCCUCACUCUCAUGCUGGCUGAGCCACUAGUUCAUUCUUCUUGCCUCAGCAAAAACAGGCUGGAACAUCUAGUCACCCCUUCCCAACCGGCUGGCCAGUGGCUCAAGACACAAUCCUUGGCCCGAUGCCGGGUGGUGAGAAUGUUUCACUAGCCAGUGACAAAAUGGUAAAAGUGAACACAAUGUACGUUGUUCUUCAUCAAGCUAAAUGUACCCAAUGUACUGGAUGUGUCCCUUUCUCAAUAAGCAAGUGUCUUCCAAAAUAAAGAUUUCAGGGACUCCUGGGUGGCUCA